rnacentral:rRNA from 1 species
AGAGUUUGAUCCUGGCUCAGGACGAACAUUGGCGGCGCGCCUAAUGCAUGCAAGUCGAGCGAACUCGUUUUCUUCGGAAAGCACAUAGUUAGCGGCGAACGGCUGAGUAACGCGUAAGUAACCUGCCUCGAAGAGGGGAAAAACUAUGAGAAAUCAUAGCUAAUUCCGCGUAAUGUCAGUUAAUUAAUUUAACUGAAGAAAGAUUUAUCGCUUUGAGAUGGGCUUGCGUCCUAUCACGUAGUUGGUAAGGUAAUGGCUUACCAAGCCUAAGACGGGUAGCUGGAGUGAGAGCUUGACCAGCCAGAGGGGGACUGAGACACGGCCCCCACUCCUACGGGAGGCAGCAGCAGGGAAUCUUGCACAAUGGGCGAAAGCCUGAUGCAGCGACGCCGCGUGAGGGAUGAAGGUUCUAGGAUCGUAAACCUCUUUUCUUAGGGAAUAGUUUGGAAGGUACCUAAGGAAUAAGUCACGGCUAACUACGUGCCAGCAGCCGCGGUAAUACGUAGGUGGCAAAUGUUGUCCGGAAUCAUUGGGCGUAAAGGGUCCGUAGGUGGCAUAAAAAGUCUUAUGUGAAAUCUCUUGGCUCAACCAAGAAACGCCAUAAGAAACUUUUAUGCUAGAGAUCAUCAGAGGGAGGUAGAAUUCCAGGUGUAGUGGUGAAAUGCGUAGAUAUCUGGAGGAAUACCAAUGGCGAAAGCAGCCUCCUGGGGUGAAUCUGACAUUGAGGGACGAAAGCGUGGGUAGCAAACCGGAUUAGAUACCCGGGUAGUCCAUGCCGUAAACGAUGAAUACUGGGUCUUCGGGGAAUCGACCCCCUGUGGACCGAAGCUAACGCGUUAAGUAUUCCGCCUGGGGAGUACGGUCGCAAGACUAAAACUCAAAGGAAUUGACGGGGGCCCGCACAAGCAGCGGAGCGUGUGGUUUAAUUCGAUGGUAAACGAAGAACCUUACCUAGGUUUGACAUAUAAGUAGUACUGACCCGAAAGGUGAUGGACCCGCAAGG